rnacentral:sRNA from 1 species
AAUAAAAAUCUUAUUAAUAUUUAAAUUAUCGAAGGUAUAAUAAAAAUAAGGAGCGAUUUUAGAAUUUUCGGGCAGAAUUUCCAAUUAUUGUUCCAAUAAAAAUACCAGUAAUUGGAAAAGUAUAUCGUUAUUACAGCAAAAAUUAUUAGCAAAAAUAAUACCGAGGAGGCGUUUAAAAACGUUUUUCUAAACGACAAAAUGGUUAGCGAAAAAGCAUUUUAAAAUUUAACGGUGGCGAGGCGAGAAUUUUCUAUUUAUAUACGCCUAAUAAAAAAGGAGGUAUAUAAUAAUUAACUGUGGUUUUUGGCCGUUUUUAACCGUUUAAACCUUAAAUCCGGUUAUUUUUUGGAAAAUAUAAUAUCGGACAAAUUUUAGCGGCGAUUCGGUGGUACGGAGGGCAGGAAAAUAGGUUGGCUACCACCGGUGGCCGAGGAAAGAAAUUUUAUUUGUAUUUUUAACGGUAUGGAGCUCCCAUAUAUUAUCCGUCCAGCGGGUAACGGCCGAUACCUCCUCGUUAAUAAUUGUAUAAUUAUGGGAUUUAUAAUAGGAAAAGGGAUGCAAUUGCCCAAAACGGAGUCGCAGAUAAUAAUAUUUAAAUAGCUAAUAUAAAGGUAAUAUUUUCGAUAGAGAAAUUUAUAAUAUUACUAAUAUAUAAAAAUUGUUAUUUUCCUUUAUAUCGCGCCAGGGGGUUCCUGCCAAAAGUCUUCCUAGAUUUUUAUUUGGUUAUUUAUUAAUUAAUUACAACUUCCAAAAUCGUAAUAUUUGUACGGCCCUACAAACGGGGCAGGGAUCGCCGGGUUGUAAAUGGGUACCGACCUGGUUAGCGUAUUUUGUUUUGGUUACCCUGACAAAAAAAUAAAUUAUGCGUUUCGGCAAUUUAAAAUACUUAAGGCCAAAGGCGAUCCCGCCGGCGAUAAAAUUGCAAAUCCGGCGGCCGACCGGAAUAACCGGGGCUGGUAAAUUUUUAUAAUAACGAAAACAUUUUAAAAAAAUUAGCGGUAAUAAUUUCCAAAAUUUUUAAUAUUACCAAAUAAUUUGGCGGUCCUGUUCAGGUUAAAUAUAGCGCAGCAAAGAGCCAGUUUUAUUUAUUUAGGAUUAAUUUUAUUAAAAUAUUACCAGACGAUUUUUACGUUAAAUGGAAAUCGACGAUAAAAACGAAAGGUUUGGCACUUUUUAAAAGUCCGGGCAUAAUAUCUAAUAGUAAAGAUAUUAUAAAAAUUAGCCCCGGGUACGCCCUGUUGGCCACCCCCGCCUAUUGGCCACCCAAAAUUUUAAAAACCAAAUUUCGUAUUUUGCAAAGCAAUUUAAAUAUACAAUUAUUAACGCACAAUAAUAUAAUCGUUUUCAAACUUUUCCGGCUUAUUAACCUUUUAUUUAUCACUUAAAAUUUCCAAACUAACUAUAUUAUUUUCCUGCGAUUAAUUAAAUUUUUUUUUUGCUAACCAAAUGUUCGUUUGGAUCCGGAAUGUGAGGAUUAGGCCACCAGAUCUAUUUUCGGAAUUACCACUCCAUUUACCAGACACGCUAUACCCAGGGUUCGCAAAAGGUCCACUAAUUCCGGAUUUAAACGCGUUUCUCCAACGCGUCGUUAAUUGUAAUUUCUCUCUUUUCGUCAAUUUAAAAUUUUCGUUAAUAACGCCUAAUAUAUUAAAGUUUUCCAAUAUAUACCUGGCCGUAAUAUGGAGGACCAAUUCCGGUCGGUUUAACCAUUUGGAAAUAUAAAUUUUAGCCAAAGAUUGUUUUUUUCGAAACUCCGGAAAAUAUGGGACCAAAAAGAUUUUAAAAUAACCUUACAAAAACGGGAAAUCGAAAUUUUAAAAGCACAAAUCGAGGUAUUACGGCCUACCAAAAGGAAGAAGGUUUAUCCCGAUCCAAACGAAGCUUUUGUAAUUAUUCGGCAGGUUUAACGCGUUUAAAGGGAAGCGAGGGUGGAAAUGCUGGACGAAAUUAAUUCCCCGGCAAAAAUACCUUUUAAUAAAAUAUUAAAUAGUAUUACUGUCCUAAAUUUGACCGAUUAAAUAAAAAUUGCGUAGGUAGAGUUGUAAAUCGUUUCAAUUUUUUGGGGUGGCCGGAAUACGGGAAUGGUCGGAAUAUAGGGGUGUUAAUUUAACGUUAAUUAAUAAAUAAUUAAAAUCGGAUGGUGGUUGCUAAUAUUUCGUACAAUUUCUUUUUUAAUUACUAUUAUUAGGCACGCCAAAACAACCCUUAUAAUCCGGAAUAUUAUAAACGGUGGCUGGUAACGGGAUUAUGGCCGGUUAAUAUUAAUAAGCCGUUAUUUAACCCCCUUCUUUUGGAAAAUUGGAACAGUUUGGUAUAAUAGCAAAAUAUUUAUAAUAUCGGGUAUUACAACCGUCGUUUAUCACCGUUAAAAUCCGGCAAUUUGGAUUAUUUAAUCCUAAACGGCUCGUUGGUGGAUUGGGAAACCCCCAAAAAUAUUAGGGAAUGGUAAAUUAACUGGGACGAUAUAUUAAAUUAACUGGGAAUAAUUUUACGCAAAAUUUAUUAUUUUUAAAAAUCCGGAAAGGUUGGAAUUCCGAGGAUUUAUAUCUUAUUAGCGCAAAAUAGAAAAUUGAACAAUUGGAAUCGCGAUUGGAGGCGGUAAUACCCCGGAAAAAACAGGGUCGAACCGGACCCGAAUAUUAUAUUCGUCGGGUUUAGGGAGCGGGCCCAAAAUAAAACUGGUAUAAUUAAAGUCGAUCGUCAAAAAAUAAAUAUUAUUAGGAAGUCCCGAUUUCCUAUAUAAUUAUAAAUAAUAAUUAAAAUAUAAUUAAAAAAAUCCGGGUUAUAUAUUUUACCAAUUAUUACAUAAUAGGAUUAUUAUAUUAUUAAAAUAACCUAUUCCAAAUAUAAUUUGCCUUAUACGUGUCGGGGGUAUUUACGUAAUAAAUAUGGUCGUAUAAGAUCCGAGGCGCCAAAACUAGUUUUUUAUCCUAUUAAUUUGCCAUUUUUAAAAACAUUGGAGCCGUUUUUGCUCGGAUCCCCAGCCGGUAAUGGGCGCCCCUCUUCUUUUGUGGGACAAUUUUUAUUGGCCCAAUAUAAACCUCAAGAUUUUUUGUCUUUAUUAAUAAAUAUUUUUAUAUUUGUUCUUCCCCUUUUAUAUCGGAUUUUGGUACCUUUGCGACUCCCUAUUAACGCGUCGAUAUACGCCGCAAAAAAUUACGCGUAAUUAACGUCCGCGCCAGGCGUCCGUUUAAACGGAAAUAACCACCCAACCGGUAAAUAUAUAAAUUAAUUUCUUUUUGGCUCGAAUUCUUUAAUAAUUUGUUUUAAUUCCUAAAAUAGAUUUUGCUGGAAUUAUUCCUCGAUUAUAUUUUGCCGUUCGCGACCGUUAACCAUUUCCCGACUAAGAGAAUAUGCGACCGUCGCGCUAUUUUCAAUACCAAAUACCAGAUUACGUGUCCCAUAUUAAUAAAUAAAAAUCGCUACGUUGCAUUUAAUUAUUUGGAACCUUUGGAUCCCAAGGUUAUAUUUGUUAUUACGACCGACAAAACGACCAACGUUACGCACGGAAAUUCUGCAAUUAUAUUUGAAAACAAAAAGUUACCUAAAAUUAAAAACAAUAUCGUACCGCCAGCCGGAAAUAAAACUAUUAUAAUUAAAAUAUAAAAGGACGGUAAUUUUAAUUAUAUUAAUAAUAAACCAUAUAUUUAAUUAGGUAAUUAUUACAAAAUUGGUCUGUUAAUUUUAAUUGAAUUUUGAUAUUUUAGGUUCGAAAUUUUAAUAUUUGCAUUUUUUAAUAUAAUAAUCUUUGGUUGGAUGGCGAUUUGGUCCGUCGCUGUUUUUGCGGGUUUAUCCAGGAAUAUUUAAAAAGAAAAUCCAAUUUGGGCUUUUGUCCGGUCGCUUAAUCCCUAUAUUAAAUGGACGUUAUUAACGUUAUAUUAAAUUAAAAAUACGUCGAAAUAAUAAAACUUCUGUUCGAAAAGGGGCCCGAUUGGACGGCCGCGAUAAUAAUGGAUUAAUAACGUUAAUAUUACCUUCCCUGCGUAUAUAAAUUAUACGAUUUAUAUUUUCCGCUACCGGUACAAUAUUUCUUCCAAUUUUAUAUAAUCUUUUAAAUUUAAGCGUUAAAUUAUAUAAGGUCGAUUUGUGCAUUUAUUUGUUAGGCGGUUAAUUUUAUUUGAACGGAAAUUUUGCGCGGAUAUUAGCGACGCGGGGUUUUUUGCGGCGCAUUUGGCGCGUCGCGUCGAUCGCGAAAUUGCAAAUACGUCGGAAUUUAAUAUAAUAUAAAAAAAGGAAAUUGGCCGUUUAUUAACAAAAAUAAGGUUUAAUUUUAAUAUAAAGUAAAAGUUAAAUAAUAAAAGUAAUUUUAUAUACCUUUUAAAAUAUUAUUCCGUAUUGGCGAGGAUAUUUGUUGCAAAUUUUUUAAAUGCUAGUACGGGUUAAUGGUCGAAGGAAUGCGAAAAGUGGAGGCGGAAGGAAUAUAAUGGGCCGAUAUUAUACGUUUACCGUUAAUAAUAAUUUUUAAUUUUCUGUUUCCAUUGUUAAAUAAUAUAUUUAAUAUAAAUUGUCUCCGGAAUUCUAAAGUUUGCAAACGAUUUCUGGCGGUUCCGAUAAAUUGGAAAAUUUAAUAUUUAGGGCGAGUUUUGUGUGAAAAUAAAACAAACCUGCGAAUUUGUUGCGGGUUAAAACGGAACGUAAUUUUAAUUAUAAUAACGUUUUUUUGGUAUAAUUUACCGCAAAAAUUAACCUAAGCUAACGAGGCCGGUAAUUAAUAUAAUAUUCCGCUAGCUGUCGACGCUUAUUUUAAUCGUGGUAUUAGGGUCCGAAAAAACCAAAGAUUAUCCACCAAUCGCCAUUUAUUUGCUGGAAGGAUAUUUGUUAUUAUAAAAAGCGGCACGCCUAUAUAAUUAACAGAUUUAAUUGUAAAUACCCCUGCCUUCCAAAUUAUGCAUUUACGUUGGCGCUAACGAUUUUUUUAACAAAAAACAAUUUAACGGAUAAGUACGGUUAUUUUCUUUUAAUAUAAAUUGGUUAAACCUUUGCUAACGCAGGAAAAAUUACAUUUAUAAACCAGGCAGAAACAAAUCCGGACAAACAAGGAGGCCCAUACAACCUAAACCCAUCGGCAGGAAAAAUGGUGGGCGAGGCAGAAAUUUGCCUCGUAAACGUCCGCGUUUUAUUUUAUAAAACGUUUUUUGUUUUAAAGUAAUUGGGAUAUAUAACAGGUCGAUUAAGGAACGAAUUUGGGGUUGGUUGCGGGUGCAAUUUUAAACUUUUUGGAGCCACCGUCUGGAUAGACCUGCGCGCCUAUUUAUAUAUUCGAACAACCGUUCGAACCAUUGUUUGAAAUUAAUAUUUAUCCAGUGAUCCAAAAUGCGCAAUAUAGCCAGAAAUUUAUAUAAAUUACGCAGUUUCGAAAUACUCCCAAUCGAAAUUUCAUAUAUUAGUUUAAAUACCUCGCCACCCCUAUUGCAAAUAAACGCCAAAUUCCAUAUAUAUUUAGCAACCAAAAUAAUUGGUAUGGCGUUAGGAAAACAAAUAUUAUCGGCGCAGUUAUCCACCCAUACCUGGACUCUUUUAUAUUAUAUAAUAGUCCAUAAAGCAAAUUAAAUGCGGUUUUGUUCGGCUCCCGCAGCAAAAACCUUGGUUUCGACGCUUACACCAAUAGGCCGCAAAGUUAGCGGGUUAUAUAUAAUUUGGUUAAUAAAUAAAUUUGCCGGAAAGUCGCUGGUAUAAAUAUGUUUUUUAAUUAUUACCAGAGGAGUAGAAAUAAUAUCCGAAAUUAGGGCAAAAUUUACCAUUUUUCCCCCGAUAAUAUUACCAAAACACCUAAUCGACCCGGAUUAUAAAAUUAAAAUUGAGGGUCCUGGCGAAAUGCGUAUAAUCGGAAACUAUUUGGGCUUAAUUUUUGCUGUUAUAUUUAAAUAACGAGAAACAUUACGAAUUGCGGUUAUUACCAAUUUAAAUAACGGACCGUAAACCUCCAAAUUCCAUAUCGUUUUAAAUAUUUUUUCGCUCGAAUAUUCUGCUGCUAAAAUUUAAAUUUCAAAAAUUUUUUCCAGUUCCCGCUCCGCAACCGCGCCACUAAUAUCGGUUUGCUAUUUAAACCAACCAAUGGGCCAUUUUCUUUUUCCGGUAGUUUGCAUAAUAUCGUUAAUAACUAAUUUAACCUCCACCGGCGUUAAUGGGUUUUUAUAAUAUAUAAUAUCCUCGAUACGUUUAUAAAUGGUAAAUAUAUUAAAAGGGAAUUGUUUUUUUGGUAUUAUAAGCGGAAUAAAUAUUAUAAAUAUAAUUAACUUCCGUAAGUCGUUUGUCUUUUUAACCGGGCUUACAAAACGUCGCCUGGGGGUUAGACCGGAGCCAGAUAUACUGGAACCGGAAAUUAUCGACCCCGAGUUUUGGGAAUAAUUUGCAUUUGGGCGAAAGGCAAACGACGAAAAUAAAAUAUAAUAUAGCGGGAUACCACCUUUAUAUAUUUGUAAUAUCGGGUCGUUAAUCGCUUCGGUUAUAAUAUCGCUGUUAAUUAAUUUGGCAGUGCGAAAAAUGGUUGAUUUAAAAUUAUUAGGUAUAUUAAAACUGUCGGAAGGUAUAAAACGCUUUCGUUUCGAUGGAAACGUAAAAGGCGGUAUUACAAAUAUAAUAAUUUUAUAAUUAUUAUAUUUGUUAAAUUUGUCGUGCCUAAUUUGCUCCUUCGAUUUUUAAAGUGUAAUAAAGUCGAUUUAUAAAUUUACGCGAUAUUAUAAGUAAAUUUGAAACGGGUCGGUUACAAAUAAUAUAAUUGCACAAGUUAAAAAUAUGGCGAUUAAUGCGUCGGAAUAUUAAAUGCGGUGGAACGACGGAACCGAUAAUAAUUUAUUAUAAAUGGUUCGGGUUACUGCGACAAUUAAUUAAUAGGUCCAUAUAAAUAAAUUAUAUUAUUUCUGUUCAAUUAAAACGAUUAAACCACAGUUAUUUAUUAUAAUAUACCGUUUCGUUUAACCCCCAAAAACUGUUUGCUAUUUUUAACGUUGCCCCAUUUUCCCAGCCUGUAAUUGCAAUAACACCACCCGCGCAAUUUGCCUUUUUUUACGUGGGCUUUUAAAUUUAUUUAUUAUAUGGCGGUUUUGAAAGUUCAUUUAAGUUUGCGAUUUUAUAUAUAUAUCGCCAUUUAUUUUGCGUAUGCAAUAACCGUGGUUUAAACAAAAUCCGGCAAAAUAACGUGGUUCGACCAAUCCAUUGUUAAAAAUAACCGUUUAUUUAUUUAACCUUUGGAAUUUAGGACGUUGAAAUUUUCCGUCAAAUAUCCUCCGGCCAUUGCCCUUUUUUUAUAUAAAACGCGAAUGGGUUUGGAAUAUGUGGGAUUACCGCUGCCGAUUAUUGGCUCGCCGGCGUUUAACCUAACAAAUAAUAUAUAUAACGUUCGUUCGUAUUUUUAACAUUGGUUUAAAAUAUAUUUAUUUGUGUGGUUAGGCGUUUGUUUGCAUUUAUAACCUCGACGUGCGGAUAAUAAUAGCUGCCGUAAACAAUUAGGUUUAAAUGCGGGUUAGUUAUAAAUGCGAUCGCGUUUUAAAAUUGGGUUUUGGCGCGAUUGGAUUCCUAUAAAUUAAUUUUCUGCCAAUUGUUAAUAAAAAUUCUGUUUGGAACCGCGCAAAACAGUUAAUUAAUUAUUUCGAUUCUUGGGCGGCAAUUGCGUGGGCCGCUGUCUGGGCCGGGGUAAGGGCCAUGGCGAUAAAAGCGGAUAGGAAUGCGAGGUUCUGCGUUGAAAUAAGGAAUUGGGGGUUUAAACGUAAAAUGGCCUGUGCGAAAUAAUUGGCCAUGGUUAUCCCGCCUUUGGGCAAAUAUCGCGAUAUUACGUUGGCAGCAAAAUUAAAUAAAUGGUCUGUUAUUCGAUAUAAAAGUUAACUGUACGUCCGCCUUUGGCGUUUUUCGUAAUUAUUAAAUUUUAUUGCAGUUUUUAUAUUUUAUUAAUAUUUAGCCGUGGUUUGCUCCACAAUAUUUCCUUUGUAUUUUAAUUUUUAUUCCCACAAUUAAAUUAAAUAUAAUAUAGCGUUUAUAAAAAACGACCGUUUUUAUACCGGCGAGGUAAAAAUAACAGGAUAGCCUAAAAUCGAAAUAGGAUUAUUAAAAUACCAAUUGUUUGCACAGCCCCCAAAAAGGUUUAUUUGUAAUUAUACGAUAUAUUUUUCGUUAUUACCUGCUAUUUUUAUUAUUUU